CUCCAUCUUCAUGAAUGAGAUUCAUGCCCUGACAUGAUAGGACUAAGGGAGUUUGUUCAUCUCUUCUGUGUUGUGAGGAUGCAGAAGGAGAGGGCUGUGUAUGAAGCAGCAUGGAAGCUGUCACCAGCCCCAGUGCAAACAUGACUUCAACUAAAGAGGGGCUUGCUGAAGCUUAAAGACAGAACUCUUCCAUCCUUAUAGGCCUUUCUGGGUGAUGCAAGCUGCUCAAUGGAAGCAACAAAGCACGCCAACUGAGGAGAGUCCUUCGGUACUGAGCAGCCAUGGGGGAGUCAGACUGCUGGCUCAUCCUUCUUCUUUCUCUUCUUCCUGCCACCCGACAUUCCAUCUGCCUUCUGGGUAAAACAUGCUGUCAGUCCUAGGAACCAGCCUGUUAGAAUUGUGGGCAGAGAAGAUGGAGAAUGGACUUCUGAUCCCCUGGGGAAGAGAAGUUUCUGUUGGAGGUACUGUCUGGCUCCUAGUUUGUGCCACCAGCCCUAGUGUCAGCUACUCACAGCUGAUAUCAGCAGACAAAGAAGCCCUGACAAUCACCAGGAAUAUAAAACUGCCUCAGGCCGGUCCUUUUCCUGAAGAAGUUGCUG
rnacentral:lncRNA from 1 species